rnacentral:rRNA from 1 species
UACGUAGGGUGCGAGCGUUAAUCGGAAUUACUGGGCGUAAAGCGUGCGCAGGCGGUUUGUUAAGCCAGAUGUGAAAGCCCCGGGCUCAACCUGGGAACUGCGUUUGGUACUGGCAAGCUAGAGUACGGCAGAGGGGGGUGGAAUUCCACGUGUAGCAGUGAAAUGCGUAGAGAUCGGGAGGAACACCAGUGGCGAAGGCGGCCUUCUGGACCAAUACUGACGCUCAUGCACGAAAGCGUGGGGAGCAAACAGG